rnacentral:rRNA from 1 species
UACGUAGGGGGCGAGCGUUGUCCGGAGUUACUGGGCGUAAAGCGCUUGUAGGCGGUCCACCAAGUUUGGGGUGACAGUUGCCGACUUAAUCGGCAAAGUGCCUCAAAGACUGGCGGACUUGAGGGCCACAGAGGGACAUGGAGCUCCAGGUGUAGUGGUGAAAUGCGUAGAUACCUGGAAGAACACCAAAGGCGAAGGCAGUGUCCUGGGUGGUCGCUGACGCUGAGAGGCGAAAGCCAGGGGAGCGAACGGG